rnacentral:rRNA from 1 species
UACGUAGGGAGCAAGCGUUGUCCGGAAUCAUUGGGCGUAAAGCGCGCGUAGGCGGCCUUGUAAGUCCGUUGUGAAAGUCAAAGGCUCAACCUUUGAAAGCCGAUGGAUACUGCAAGGCUAGAGUUCGGAAGAGGCGAGUGGAAUUCCUGGUGUAGCGGUGGAAUGCGCAGAUAUCAGGAGGAACACCGGUGGCGAAGGCGGCCUUCUGGACAGUGACUGACGCUGAGACGCGAAAGCGUGGGGAGCAAACAGG